rnacentral:RNase_P_RNA from 1 species
UAGACAAUCGCUGCGUAAGUAGAGGAAAGUCCAUGCUCGCACCACCUGUGAUGGUGGUAGUGAUUGUGUCUUACGAAAAAAUAAGUAAGAGUAGAUUAUUCUAACGGCUGGUUGAUGCCUAAGGGAAACUAUGGCUAAGACCUAUAAAAGUGUCAAAGAGACGAGCUUAAUAGAAAUAUUAAGAGUGGAACGUGAUAAACCCCACAAGCGAGAAACCCAAAUUUUGGUAGGGGAACUUAGCUAACUAAACGAAGUGAUGCUAGGCUAGAAAUAGAGAUAAAUGAUUGUUUAAUACAGAACAUGGCUUAUUG